AACUUUUAACAAUGGAUCUCUAGGCUCUCAUAUCGAUGAAGAACACAGUGAAAUGUGAUAAGUAAUGUGAAUUGCAGAAUUCAGUGAAUCAUUGAAUCUUUGAACGCACCUUGCACCUUUUGGUAUUCCAAAAGGUACACCUGUUUGAGUGUCAUGA
rnacentral:rRNA from 1 species